UGCUCCUGAUGCCUGGUCCAUCUGCCG
rnacentral:piRNA from 1 species